rnacentral:lncRNA from 1 species
CCAAGUGCUCAGCUGGUAAAGACAAGGUUUCCCAAAAAUUUUCAUAAUUUUUGGAACUAAACUUUUAUUUCUAAAAUCAAAUAGACCUUCUAAGAGCAUAUUUUAAUCCCCUGAAAUUUGGUAUCUGCUGUAAAAAUCCUAAAUCUACUUUUACUCAGGGAAGAAGCUUCAGUGCCAUACACAGCUUACGGGGCUCGCAUGAAAAUGCUCAGGGAAGAAGCACGCUGGUUGGUCGACGGUGAGGCUGUCCAUGGUACCGAUCUGCGGUGGCGCGACCCUGUUCCAAGCAGCAGACCACGGUAGAGUUCAAAAGCUGAGUUGCAUGAGCUUCACUGGUCCAAGGAGAGCAUGGGACACUCACCACACGACUGAGAAAGCUCUCGAGGAACCUGGGCCGCGGUGAGGGGGAGGGUCAGCUGGGCGUGGUCACCAAACUGCAGAGAUGGCACACAGCUCCGGGGCAGACCGGACUUGGUGAUGGAAAGGGGUUACUCAGACCUGAAAACCAGAACUCCUCCUCUCACGCGAUGGACACGAGCUCGAGUUCAAGGGCAGGGGAAAGACUCC